rnacentral:rRNA from 1 species
UACGUAGGGGGCAAGCGUUGUCCGGAAUCAUUGGGCGUAAAGCGCGCGUAGGCGGCCCGGUAAGUCCGCUGUAAAAGUCCAGGGCUCAACCCUGGAAAGCCGGUGGAUACUGUCGGGCUAGAGUCCGGAAGAGGCGAGUGGAAUUCCUGGUGUAGCGGUGGAAUGCGCAGAUAUCAGGAGGAACACCGAUGGCGAAGGCAGCUCGCUGGGACGGUACUGACGCUCAGGCGCGAAAGCGUGGGGAGCGAACAGG